rnacentral:rRNA from 1 species
AGGGUUUGAUCAUGGCUCAGAACGAACGCUGGCGGCGUGGAUAAGACAUGCAAGUCGAGCGCUGAUUUUCCUGUAGCAAUAUAGGGAAGUUGGAGCGGCGCAAGGGUGCGUAACACGUGGAUCAUCUGCCUGGAAGUUCGGAAUAAUCCCGAGAAAUCGGGACUAAUGCCGGAUGUGGUUGAAAGACUAAAGUUGGGGACCGCAAGGCCUGACGCUUCCAGAUGAGUCCGCGGCCUAUCAGCUAGUUGGCGGGGUAAAGGCCCACCAAGGCUAAGACGGGUAGCUGGUCUGAGAGGACGACCAGCCACACUGGAACUGAGACACGGUCCAGACACCUACGGGUGGCAGCAGUCGAGAAUUUUUCUCAAUGGGCGAAAGCCUGAAGGAGCGACGCCGCGUGGGGGAUGAAGGGCUUCGGUCCGUAAACCCCUGUCAUUUGCGAACAAACCUUACCAUUGAACAUUUGGUGAGCUGAUUGUAGCGAAAGAGGAAGGGACGGCUAACUCUGUGCCAGCAGCCGCGGUAAUACAGAGGUCCCGAGCGUUGUUCGGAUUCACUGGGCGUAAAGGGUGCGCAGGUGGCAUGGCAAGUUUGAUGUGAAAGCCCCGGGCUUAACCCGGGAAUGGCAUUGAAUACUGCUGUGCUGGAGGGUCGGAGGGGGGACUGGAAUUCUUGGUGUAGCAGUGAAAUGCGUAGAUAUCAAGAGGAACACCAGUGGCGAAGGCGAGUCCCUGGACGAUACCUGACACUGAGGCACGAAAGCCAAGGGAGCAAACAGGAUUAGAUACCCUGGUAGUCUUGGCUGUAAACGGUGCGCAUUUGCUGUAAACGGAAUCGACCCCGUUUGUGGCGUAGCUAACGCGAUAAAUGCGCCGCCUGGGAAGUACGGUCG